AAAACCAAGUCUCUAAGCAAUGGAUGUCUUGGCUCCUCACACGAUGAAGAACGUGGCAUAAUGUGUUAAGUAACCGGAGUUGCAAACAUCAUGACAGGUUAAUCUUUGAAUGCAAAUUGCGCUAAACUCGAUCUCGGUCGAGAAGCAUGGGUGUGACAGUACUACAUCUUUUAUAAUAAUUCUUAUUCUAAGCGAAUAAGUAAAUAAUAUAUAAGACAAACAACACGUAGUCUGCCAUACGCAGGAAGACCCGCUGAACUGAAGCAUCUCAUUAAGCGGAGGAAAAGAAACUAACUAGGAUUCUCUUAGUAAAGGCGAUCGAAAAGGGAACAGCCCAACGUCUUAAUCCCGCAAGGGAAAUGUAGUCCGGUUCACCUAUUGCACUGGUCUAGUCAGAUGAAUGCUUGCGCGAUUCAAAGGUACAAGCCUCGUAUGACCACCUGCAAGCUUACGAUGGACCCGGGAGAGUCG
rnacentral:ncRNA from 1 species